UACGUAGGGGGCCAGCGUUGCUCGGAAUUACUGGGCGUAAAGGGUUCGUAGGUGGUGCGGCAAGUUGGAAGUGAAAUCUCUGGGCUUAACCCAGAGGCUGCUUUCAAAACUGCCGUGCUCGAGUGCGAGAGAGGCUCGUGGAAUUGCAGGUGUAGCGGUGAAAUGCGUAGAUAUCUGCAGGAACACACGUGGCGAAAGCGGCGAGCUGGAUCACAACUGACGCUGAGGAACGAAAGCUAGGGGAGCAAACAGG
rnacentral:rRNA from 1 species